AUGCUCAUGUCGGCAGCACAUGUACUAAAAUUGGAAUGGUAUACAGAAGAGAGUAGCAUGGCCCCACAUGAGGAUGACAUGCAAACUCACGAAGUGGUCCAUAUGGCA